AAUUGCAUCUGAGUCUACACAGGUUAACCAUUUCAUUUCAGUAAACAAAAAUUCAAAUCCAUGAGAUAGGGCACAUGCCACAUGGUGAUCCAACACCGUAAUUCUAUAAAUAAUUAUGCUAGCAACACACUCAUCUUCUAUAAUUAUAUUAGCUCUUUAACAAAUACAGGCUUGAUACAUUGACCAAGAUACGACCGACUACCACCAAAUAGUUGCAAUAAUAAAUCAACAUUGGAGUAACUAAUUAUGCAGUAAUCUUAACCAAGACCAAGCAUUGGUUAUAAAAUGAAUUUCCUAACUAACCACCAUGAAUAGCUAAAUACUAAGUACAAUUUCACAACAGAAGUAAUAAUACCAUAAGAAUAACAGUCGCUCAUUGCUUGGCAACCCUCAUAUUAACCAAAUCAAUAGAUAGUAUGAACAAGAGUUCUGGCAUUUAGAUCAACAAUCGUUUUUCUGGAACAUCCAAGUGCUGCCAGUGGCAGAAUAGAAGUGUUUUUUUUUUUUUUUGAGAGGAGAAUAGAAGUGUUUUGAUCACAACAAAGUUAUGAUAUGAAUGUUUUAAGGAUUAUAUAUGGCUCUAGUCUCAACAAAAUAUAUUUCAUCUAUGAGAAUUUUUAUGGGUUAAAUAUGUUUUUAGUCCUUACAUUUUGCGCCUCUUUGAAGAAUAGUCC
rnacentral:lncRNA from 1 species